rnacentral:rRNA from 1 species
AGUGAACGCUGGCGGUAGGCCUAACACAUGCAAGUCGAACGGCAGCACAGUAAGAGCUUGCUCUUACGGGUGGCGAGUGGCGGACGGGUGAGGAAUACAUCGGAAUCUACUUUUUCGUGGGGGAUAACGUAGGGAAACUUGCGCUAAUACCGCAUACGACCUACGGGUGAAAGCAGUGGAUCUUCGGACCUUGCGCGAUUGAAUGAGCCGAUGUCGGAUUAGCUAGUUGGCGGGGUAAAGGCCCACCAAGGCGACGAUCCGUAGCUGGUCUGAGAGGAUGAUCAGCCACACUGGAACUGAGACACGGUCCAGACUCCUACGGGAGGCAGCAGUGGGGAAUAUUGGACAAAGGGCGCAAGCCUGAUCCAGCCAUACCGCGUGGGUGAAGAAGGCCUUCGGGUUGUAAAGCCCUUUUGUUGGGAAAGAAAAGCAGCAGGUUAAUACCCCGCUGUUCUGACGGUACCCAAAGAAUAAGCACCGGCUAACUUCGUG